rnacentral:rRNA from 1 species
UACGUAGGGCGCAAGCGUUAUCCGGAAUUAUUGGGCGUAAAGAGCUCGUAGGCGGUUUGUCGCGUCUGCCGUGAAAGUCCGAGGCUCAACCUCGGAUCUGCGGUGGGUACGGGCAGACUAGAGUGAUGUAGGGGAGACUGGAAUUCCUGGUGUAGCGGUGAAAUGCGCAGAUAUCAGGAGGAACACCGGUGGCGAAGGCGGGUCUCUGGCCGAUACUGACGCUGAGGAGCGAAAGCGUGGGGAGCGAACAGG